rnacentral:sRNA from 2 species
ACCACUGUCAAUCUAUCUAUCGCUGCUAAUCUAUUGCUGCUAAUCUAUCACUGCUAAUCUAUCACUGCUAAUCUAUUGCUGCUAAUCUAUUGCUGUCAAUCUAUCUACCGCUGUCAAUCUAUCUACUGCUGCCAAUCUAUCUAUCACUGCUAAUCUAUUGCUGCUAAUCUAUUGCUGCUAAUCUAUCACUGCUAAUCUAUCACUGCUAAUCUAUCACCACCAACCUACCUACCACUGCCAACCUAUCUAUCACUGCCAAUCUAUAUAGAGUAAAUUAUAGUUCCAUUUGGUCCCAUUUUGUAAAAUGGAAUCAAAUGAGAUCAGAAUUACUAAUUUAUUAGUAAAAUAUAAUCUGAGACUAGAUUUAUAAUAUAAACAGUGUAAAGUGAUUAAUUUGCUAAACACUAUAUGAGACCAGAACUAAGAUAUCUAAUAAUGAAACUGAGGAAAAAUUUGAUUUCAGUUCCAUGCAUGAUCACACAGCC